rnacentral:rRNA from 1 species
GAUGAACGCUGGCGGCGUGCCUAAUACAUGCAAGUCGAGCGAACAGACGAGGAGCUUGCUCCUCUGACGUUAGCGGCGGACGGGUGAGUAACACGUGGAUAACCUACCUAUAAGACUGGGAUAACUUCGGGAAACCGGAGCUAAUACCGGAUAAUAUAUUGAACCGCAUGGUUCAAUAGUGAAAGACGGUUUUGCUGUCACUUAUAGAUGGAUCCGCGCCGCAUUAGCUAGUUGGUAAGGUAACGGCUUACCAAGGCAACGAUGCGUAGCCGACCUGAGAGGGUGAUCGGCCACACUGGAACUGAGACACGGUCCAGACUACUACGGGAGGCAGCAGUAGGGAAUCUUCCGCAAGGGGCGAAAGCCUGACGGAGCAACGCCGCGUGAGUGAUGAAGGUCUUCGGAUCGUAAAACUCUGUUAUUAGGGAAGAACAAAUGUGUAAGUAACUAUGCACGUCUUGACGGUACCUAAUCAGAAAGCCACGGCUAACUACGUG